UCGCAGAUCAGAAUGCUGCGGUGAAUGCGUUCCCGGGUCUUGUACACACCGCCCGUCACACCACGGGAGUUGGAGACGACCGAAGCCGAUUAUCUAACCUUUUGGAAGAAGUCGUCGAAGGUGGAAUUAAUAACUGGGGUGAAGUCGUAACAAGGUAGCCGUAUCGGAAGGUGCGGCUGGAUCACCUCCUUUCUAAGGAGA
rnacentral:rRNA from 1 species